rnacentral:tRNA from 1 species
GCGAGAGUGGCGGAAUUGGCAAACGCGCUGGACUUAGGAUCCAGUGGAGUAAUCCUUGGGGGUUCAAGUCCCCCCUCUCGCACCA